GGGUCAGUAGGUUGGUCGUGCCACCGGUACGUACUGGUCUCACUGAUUCCUCCUUCCUGAAGAACCGUAAUGCCAUUAAUUUGGUGUUGCGGGGAAACAGGACUGUUACUUUGAAAAAAUUAGAGUGUUUAAAGCAAGCUAACGCUUAAAUACGUUAGCAUGGAAUAAUGAAAUAGGACGAUCGAUCCUAUUUUGUUGGUUUCUAGGAUUGACGUA
rnacentral:rRNA from 1 species